rnacentral:rRNA from 1 species
GACGAACGCUGGCGGCGUGCUUAACACAUGCAAGUCGAACGGAAAGGCCCUGCUUUUGUGGGGUGCUCGAGUGGCGAACGGGUGAGUAACACGUGAGUAACCUGCCCUUGACUUUGGGAUAACUUCAGGAAACUGGGGCUAAUACCGGAUAGGAGCUCCUGCUGCAUGGUGGGGGUUGGAAAGUUUCGGCGGUUGGGGAUGGACUCGCGGCUUAUCAGCUUGUUGGUGGGGUAGUGGCUUACCAAGGCUUUGACGGGUAGCCGGCCUGAGAGGGUGACCGGCCACAUUGGGACUGAGAUACGGACCAGACUCCUACGGGAGGCAGCAGUGGGGAAUAUUGCACAAUGGGCGGAAGCCUGAUGCAGCAACGCCGCGUGCGGGAUGACGGCCUUCGGGUUGUAAACCGAUUUCGCCUGUGACGAAGCGUGAGUGACGGUAAUGGGUAAAGAAGCACCGGCUAACUACGUG